ACCAGAGAAAAAUAAAUUUGAUCAAGCUGAAGUGAUGGAGAAGACUUCUGCGCAUUCAUUUGACACCAAAAAUGAGAAACAAGCAAGUACUGGAGCAUAUUAAACCAGCAAAAUGGAUACAAGUAAUGAAAUCAUCCUUUCUUUGGAGAUCUUAAAUCAGAGCUACAGGAAAAAGGGAACUGAAUCAGACAGAUGGAGAGCUAGAGAAAAGUGAAGAUCUUUACUUACACCAGCAAAACCCUCUGAGAUGGAUUCAGCUGAGAGAGACUGACUGGCCUAAAGACCCCCAGCCAACUUUCAUGGUUAAGAUGGCACUAGAACUCACAGU